AUUUAGGCAAGAGGAAGCAGUGAGUCUGCUUUCUUGCUGAGAAGGACUCCCCACCCAUUUGGCUCCAGGAGGGCUCAACCCUGGGGAAGCAUCACAGCUGCCAAGAGUGAUGCAGGCUGGACCAACUGGGAAGAUCUUAGUGGCAAGCAUGAGCAAAGAAAGUCAGCUCAGCAGAGAAGGCAGCACUCACAGCCUCGAUGCAGCUUUGGGGCCUGUGGUUCACCUACUGCUCUUUCACCUAGAGCUAUCACACAACUCACCUACAGCCAUGAAGAUCUCAUUUACUUGGUGGUUGGAUUUUGCAGAUGUCUCCACGAACAACAGGCCUUUGGUCCUUGCAAACUCUUCCCCCUCCUAGGUGAAGACAAACAGAAUUAUUCGUCCAACCUCUUCUGGGGCUGCCUGUUUAGUUACAAUGGCAUUUCAUGGCAGGUCAAUAACGAUGUCUGGAAACCUUUUAAAUGCCUGGCUUCACAGUGAACCACUCAGCAAUUGCUGCUGAGAGAGUGAUGAGGGAGCCUGGGAGCUCACCACAGGCACUCACCUCUGUGGUGACUUCUCGCUCAGCACCAAGGUCCACCUUGUUGCCCACCAAAGCAAUGACUAUUUCAUCAGGAAGGAACUCCUUCUCCAGCUCCCUCAGCCAAAGCUUUGCUCUGUUGAGUGUUUCCUGAAGAGAUGGAGACAAAACCACCCGGUAGUCCAUUUGGUAUUUAAUCCCUUUGUCUCAGGCAUAGCAAAGCUGGACAGGUGACACCAAACCAAAGGUCGUGGAAAAGAUGUGGUGGUGAGGCUUUGGUUGCCCUCCCAGAGGAACAAGUCACUGAUCCUCAAACACUUUUAGGGAUAAAUCAGCCUUAGAAGGGAUGCACCCUUUCUGCAUGUCAGCAGAAAUUGCCCCUGCAUGGGAAAGGACAACCCCUGGCACAUCCUAGGUAGUGCUCACGUAUUGCUUUCAGCUCUACCAAGGACAAGAAGCAUCAUCUGGACACCUCUGCCCAGCUGCUGCAUCAUGGUACAAAUGCACAGAUGGGAUCAGCAUCCCCAGCUUUACCUUGUUAGCAAUGUCAUAGAUGAGGAGAGCAGCAUGGGCACCCCUGUAGUAGAGGUGGCAGACACUCUGGUACUUCUCCUGGCCUGCUGUGUCCCAGAUCUCAAAAUUGACAGUGGCUGCCUCCAGGUCAAGCUUCUGUGUGAAGAAGGAGCCUGCAAGCAAGAUGCAGGUGGCACAUUUUCUUUCAGCAAAAGCAGAGAGCACAGACCAUGAGGUCUAACCCACUUUGAGGGCUGUUAGCAAUGCUCUAAUGCACAGAACUGGGAUAGGAUUCUUUUAGAUAAGCACUGGUAUCAUUGAUGGGAUGGCAUGCAGCAAGGCAGGGCAGCCUGUGGCAGGUUUGGAGCACUUUCUAGCAACAUAUUUGGACAGAUGCACACCACUUUUGAUGUCAGAUAGCACUCAGCUUUGCAGAAUACCCCCUAUAUAGAGAGCCACCUCUGCUUUACUGGUGGGUCAGACCUGAGAGAGCUAAGAAUAGGAAUAUCCCCUGAAAAGGACUUCUACCAGAGACAAGCCACCAUCCCUGCUCCCAGAGAGCAGAUGGCUCCCUGUCAACCAGCCAGAACCAAGGCAGAAGGACAAGGGGACCAUCUCCACAGCAUCUCAUUCUCUUCUACAAGCUAUCUUUUCAGGCUGCAGGUGGGAACAUAACCUUUGUGCCUGCCAUGCCUUCUUAGGACAACCCCCAAACUCCAGAUACAUCAUGUAAAAUGAACAUCUAUGACAUCUAGGAGCUGUAGAAAACUGUGAUGAUGCAAACAUAGGGGAGGCAGCUUGGUCCCAGUGGGCAUGUUGGCCCAAGGAAGGUUAUAGUGUGAGUAAGGCUCACAGCUGUCCAGGUGGCUUUCAUCAAAGCAUGAACAUGCACGUGAAGUGCCUUCAGACAUGGGUUAUUCAGCAUAGCUUGUCAGAACAGGACGUGCAGGGCCCUUGGAGCAGAGGACUGUGUUUGCAGCAUGGCCAGGAUGUGGGAAGGUGCUCUUGUCUCUACAGGCAAGCUGGAGGAAUGAGGUACUGCUGUACAUUGAUCAUCAGGCAGUGCUGAGGGUGAGUGAUGCUAUUGUAGCUGGCCAUCAUCUCCUGGGCUAUCCUGCCCACCUGCACCCCAGCCAGAACCUCCUGGUUCCUGUGGGACAUUGAGACCUGGGCAGCAUGUGUACAGGGCAGUCUCCUAGAGCAUCUGAACAGCUGUAAAGGCUGCACAGAACCAAGCAUGCAUAGAGCAGGUGGGACCACACAGUUUGGAUCCCAGAUUUCACUCAUUUUACUGCUCAUCUGCCUCCAAAAAUCAGAGCAAAGCCAAGCAGCAACGGAACAAGUCUAGAACGUGUUUUAAAGUUGGGCCUAUGCUACUGCAGGAUAUACCAACCUGUUCUCAUGCAUCCCACCCCACUGCAAGGCAGGGCAUCAAGUCUAGUCUCUUGUCCAGAGCCAUCAAGCUAUUGAAGCCUUUCACUUACAUCCCACAGUUGGCAGUGACUCCCGGAAGUCAUUCUUCACAUAUCGAUAGGCCAGGCUUGACUUUCCCACUGAUGUGCUCCCCAGCAGAACCACCUUGUAGACAUAGGUGGGAUGAAUCUCCUUUGGGGAGAUGCUUGGCAUUGCCUUCUGUGCCACGUCCUGCAAAGAAGCAACUCUCUUAAAAACAUGUCUGCAGUGACCCCAGCUCCAUCAGCUGGGCCUCCUGCUUCAGCUCCUGAGCAGUGGCAGAGGGGCAGGUGGGGUUUAACCUCAAAAUAGGCUAGAACAAGACCAUUAAUAUCCUGAAACAAAUUUAAUACAUCAAACCAUCUGCUGCUGUCAGUUACGACCGAGGGUGGAGAUCUUUAAGAAGAAACUGGAUGCAAAAGGCCAUUUUGGAUGUAGACAGAGAGAUAGGAUUGGGUGCAUCUCAUCUAAAGAGUGGACAUACUGUAAAAAGUCAAUGACAGAGAAUAUCAGUUAUGGAUGUGCCUUGCUCUUGAGCAUGCCUCCCUUCCCAAAGUCCUGGUGAAAAGCUUAGGCUGGUGUUCUAUGUUUAUUGUGGGUCUUGGUUAGAAGUUGUACCUGCUGAGCUUAACUAAGGCUGCAGGUGAAGUCAGGCAUGAAUGUGAUGCUGCUACUAAUUUGCUAAAGACAAUGCCCAGGUGAUGGCUGAGCACCGCAAAAGCUGAUGGGUUUUGUGGCAGCAACACACCUAGACAACAUGUUUCUUGCCAGGGUGAAAAAGCAGGAGUGAGUGGACCUGACUCAAGCACCCUUGAGGACAGCAGGACAUAAAGCAGACAGCACAUGCUCCACCACUGUGGAUUAGGAAACCACGGGCAGACCAAAUCCAUGAACUCUCACAUCCUCAUGACCAUUGCACCACAGAGCAUGAUUCUGCAUCACUCAGGGUGGAGCUCUGCCUCGUGGUGACUUGGGACUGUGGAAGAGCAUGAUCCAAAACAACAGUAAUCACCUCACACCUGACUCAAAGAGAGCCACUGCAGAGCAUUGGCCAUACCCUAGGAAGGGAAUGGUUGGUGUGAGCCUUCCUGAAUGGCAUAUUUGUUCUUCUCCAGGCCUUGAACUCAAGGAAGUGAUAGUGCUUUGCUGCCAGCAGGAGCUGUCAGCAAAGGAAGGUGAAUACUAGUGCCAUGCAGCUACCUAAAACUUUGUCCUGGCUCCUCCUUUCAGAGCUCCUCAUCUAGUAUUUCUCAGUCAUAUGGAGAGCUAUGCAGGAGAGAGGGAGGUUCAUGAAAAGCCUGAAGAUGAAGUGCAGUAGGAUGUUGAAUUGAGCAGAAAGGUAUGAGAUGAUCUUGCAUGCAGAAGCAAAGGGGAAAUAUGCCAGAAUCACUGCUGUGUGCAGUGAUGGAAUGUGCCUUUAUAUAUAGAUCUAAUCUUCUAACACCCAAAGGCAAGCAGAUGAGCCUUCUGAAAUGUCUGUGUCCUGCUGAUGGUCCCUGCUUGUGUGUCCUGACUUUUGCCGCUAUUGUUUGUCAGAUGAAGAGCCUCCCAUGCUAGGGUGAAAAAUGCUGAUGUGGGGUACUUUUGAAGACAGCACAGGGACCUGCAAGGCUUAUAAUGAAAAUGUGAUGCAAUUACUCCAAUUUCUACCUGGAGCUUGCAGGAGUUUACAAGUGAGCAACAUGAAACAUAUUUACAAAGACGUCAAUGUGACUCCCAGCCCAGGAAGCUGCAGCUCCUUCAUCUAACAAAAGCCUUUUGUUUCUGCUUAUCCCACAUCUCCCCUGUCUUCUCCCUGCAAUCUGGCAGGCUCCGAAGCUUUAAUUCUUCUCUCUUCCCUGAGCUUGUUAUCAAAAUAGUUUUCCAUUAAGUGAUCCUUGUUGCUGGCUGAACCUGGGUCUGUAUCUAUGUUUUUUCUGUUCCCUGAGAUGGGCUUUCAUGCCCUUGAAACAUAGGGGUAAAAUCUUCUCCACCAGCUCACACAGCAUAGAGAUGAAAAGCAGGAUCACAGUUUGUGCAGAGCACCUAGUCAGGGAUGGGUUAUGCUAUCUUUUAAGCAGGAAAAAAAAAGAUAAACAAUUCAACAUAAGGCUGUGCUGCACCUGGUAUUGUUUAUAUACAUUUGCCUCUUUGUGGACCUAGAAAUAAUAUUACUAUCUUUUCUGGGCAGAUAAGUUAGCUACCAUAGGUGAUAAGACAUAAAACUCUUUAGAGAAGCAAGAAGCUGCAUGAAAAAAAAAAACCCACCAGAUUGUCUCUCCUAAACUCAGCUUCCUAUUACAUCACUCUGCUGCUCACUGUUUAACCCUAAAAAGUACUAGCAACCCUGAAACAAAGCUCACCUGAGAACUACUGUAAUGACAGAUAUUUCCUUGCAAACUUCUCAUGCUGGCAAGCACCUCUUAGAGACAGGGAGUUUAGCCACAGCUCAUUUAAAACUUUAUUUUCCCUGUUAAAAAGGCAGAAGGUGAGUCUUUCUUCUGAUCUGAGGAGAGCAACAUGGAAGCUAAAGCUGCCCUUAUUCCCAUUCAAUGGAAAACAGGAUUUAGGAGAAACUGUUUUCCUUCUCCCUUUUUCUUGCUGAAAAAGAAAUGUACAGAGUAAAACCCUGUGUUCAGUGGCUAGGGGGCCAUGCAAAAAUUCCUCCAGACAUCUCACAUGUCUGACAGUCACUUUUCCGUGGUUGCCUCCGGCCCUGUGGAAGAGCCUUUCAGUGGUGAGACUCAGCUUAGGGUUGCAGUCACUUCCACAAAUCCAGAAUGCUGCUCUGGCUCCGGGUGUGGAUAAUGGUGCUGCUGCCUCACAGCAAGCAGCAUCCCUGUUCUUUCAGCCUGGGCUGCCAAUGAAGCAUAAACUCAUUUUUCAUCUGGAAACCUCCCUGAGCUGACUGAGUAUAUCCAGGAGAAACAUUUAAAGCAGCCUCCCUGCUGGUUUCUGUGAGUUAAGCCCCAGCAGAGUGCACCUGCAUGCCAGAAACCUUUUGUCGGCAUAACUGGAAUAAGUUUUGAUUUAUCUCACUGCAAACUCGAAACUCUAAAGAAGUCACUGGUGCUUCUGUGCAAAAUGGCUUUAGCAGAUUUUCCCCUGCAGGCUUUCAAAGGCUGAGAUGUAACCCAAACUGGGACUGCCUACAUGUUGGAUUUCAGACCUGGUAAAGAAUAAUUCAACAACUCAGGGAGCCGCCUGGGGAAUAUGUGAGGCGUUAUAACUCCUGUCCUUGUACCCAGAGGCCACACCGAGGGGUAAGGAAGGCUGAAUGCAUUCAGAUUCAAUAUAAAGAGAUGGAGGUUAAUACAGACAAGCAUUUAUCUUUAAUCAAAUGUAAAAAUCCUGAUGGUGGACUUAGUCUCCAUAUACAGCUUAAUAUUUUAUCAUAGCUGUGUCUAGCAGCAGAUAUUUGGGGUUUGCCUGAUCUUACACUUACCUAGAAGGUGAGUACAGAAAUGUUCACAACGCAGAUCAUUUCUCACUUCCUAACGGAGGAUUAAGCAUUGCUGCAUCCAGGAAAUACUGUUCUCAGCCAGACACCCUCAUCUCCAUGUGUCCUCUCUCCUUCCCACGGGUAAUGGUUGGGUAUGCAGAUGCAGUUCCAGUCAGCAUUAACCAGCUUCCCCUACAGACCCCACUGGUUUAAUGUAAAUCAACUUAAAGGUGAUCUGUUUGCCGAGUAUGGCAGCAGCUUCACAGAAGUAAUGUUGCGCUUGAACUGCCUGCCCUCAUUGUUUCCAAGAAGGCACCUGACAAAUCUGUUUCUGAGGGUGACUCAGUUGUUUAGAAUUAGCCUGAAAGUGGACUUUAUCUAAGGAGCAUCCUUUCAAACUGGUUUUUUAUGGGCAUAAACCCUAGUAAUAAAAAGCAGAAAUAUGAGGUGGUGGAUUAGAUAGUUGGGCUGGACUGCAGUAUCAAGAGCUUGACUUUCACCAUUUAGUAAAUCAGUAUCUCUGCAGUAUUUUUAACCUGGAGAGGAAGUAUCUUGGUAUAUUUAUUGCAAAGGGAUAAGACUUUUAUUUCCAAAUGGAAACAUUGAAAAAAUAAAAGAAAUGCAUACCUGUGGA